CAGUCGCCGCGGUAAAACGAAGGGUGCAAGCGUUACUCGGAAUUACUGGGCGUAAAGCGUGCGUAGGUGGUGGUUUAAGUCCGUUGUGAAAGCCCUGGGCUCAACCUGGGAAUUGCAGUGGAUACUGGGUCACUAGAGUGUGGUAGAGGAUAGUGGAAUUUCCGGUGUAGCAGUGAAAUGCGUAGAGACCGGAAGGAACAUCUGUGGCGAAGGCGACUAUCUGGGCCAACACUGACACUGAGGCACGAAAGCGUGGGGAGCAAACAGGAUUAGAUACCCCCGUAGUCCCUGUCUCUUAUAC
rnacentral:rRNA from 1 species